rnacentral:rRNA from 1 species
AUUGAACGCUGGCGGCAUGCCUUACACAUGCAAGUCGAACGGUAACGGGCCUUCGGGUGCCGUCGAGUGGCGAACGGGGGAGUAAUACAUCGGAACGUGCCCGCUCGUGGGGGAUAACGAGGCGAAAGCUUUGCUAAUACCGCAUACGAUCUACGGAUGAAAGCAGGGGACCGCAAUGCCUUGCGCGGACGGAGCGGCCGAUGGCAGAUUAGGUAGUUGGUGGGAUAAAAGCUUACCAAGCCGACGAUCUGUAGCUGGUCUGAGAGGAUGAUCAGCCACACUGGGACUGAGACACGGCCCAGACUCCUACGGGAGGCAGCAGUGGGGAAUUUUGGACAAUGGGCGCAAGCCUGAUCCAGCCAUGCCGCGUGCAGGAUGAAGGCCUUCGGGUUGUAAACUGCUUUUGUACGGAACGAAAAGCCUUCUUUUAAUACAGGAGGGUCAUGACGGUACCGUAAGAAUAAGCACCGGCUAACUACGUG